UACGUAGAUGGCAAGCGUUAUCCGGAAUUACUGGGCGUAAAGCGCACGCAGGUGGCCUGUUAAGACUGACGUGAAAGCUCCUGGCUUAACUGGGAGAGGUCGUUGGAGACUGGCAGGCUUGAGGCGAGGAGAGGGGUGUAGAAUUCCCGGUGUAGUGGUGGAAUGCGUAGAGAUCGGGAGGAAUACCAGUGGCGAAAGCGGCACCCUGGCCUUGGCCUGACGCUCAGGUGCGAAAGCGUGGGGAGCGAAC
rnacentral:rRNA from 1 species